AAAUUUAAGGUCUGACCUGCCCACUGAGAUUUUAAAUGGCCGUGGUAUUUUGACCGUGCUAAGGUAGCAUAAUCAUUAGUUUUCUAAUUAAAAACUGGAAUGAAAGGUCGGAUAAGAAAAUAGCUGUCUCUAUUUAAUUUAAUUAGAAUUUUAUUUUUAAGUUAAAAAGCUUAAUUGUUUUUAAAAGACGAGAAGACCCUAUAGAGUUUAAUUAUUAAAUAAAAAUUAUAUUUUAGUAUUAAUUUAUUUGAUUUAUUUAAUAAUUUAAUUGGGGUGAUUAAAAAAUUUAAUUAACUUUUUUUAUUUUAAAUCAUUAAUUUAUGAUUAAAUGAUCCAAUAGUUUUGAUUAUAAGAUAAAAUUACCUUAGGGAUAACAGCGUAAUUUUUUUAGAGAGUUCAUAUUAAAAGAAAAGAUUGCGACCUCGAUGUUGGAUUAAAAUAAAUUUUUGGUGUAGAAGCUAAAAUAUUAGGUCUGUUCGACCCUUAAAAUUUUA
rnacentral:rRNA from 1 species